rnacentral:lncRNA from 1 species
UUGAGGGCUCUUAACUUCUCUCUAGUUUAUAUUGUAGCAAAUCUGCUUUUUAAGAAGCUCAGUUUUUCUGUUUGUUUCUUAUUCUUUCCAUAUUUUCUUUGCUUGAUUCAAUCGGGGGAUUGAAUCAAGGGUGUAGAGGUUGGUUGGUGAGCCGAGUGUAAAACCAACGUGUAAGGGUUCGAUUGUGAUUCCGGAAAAACAAUCGGGGUUGGUUCUAGUCGGUGAGCCUGGGAAAACCGACCGAGUUCGUUGUGAGCUCGUAAAACAACAAGUUUGGUUGUGAGCUUGAAAAACAACCGGCUGUAAUCCAAGGGGUUAUAGUGAAUUCCCAAGUGAGACUUGGGGAGUGGACGUAGGAGCAAGGGUUAGCUCCGAACCACUAUAAACAUCGUGUUUGUGAUUGCUUGUCUCUCUUUCUCUCAUUCUCAUUUCACUCACAGCACAUAGCAACUAAUUAAUCA